rnacentral:rRNA from 1 species
CGGGUGCACUGAUCCAGCCGGGCCUUUCCCUCUGUGGAACCCCAUGGCCUUCACUGGCUGUGGUGGGGAAACAGGACUUUUACUUUGAAAAAAUUAGAGUGCUCCAGGCAGGCCUAUGCUCGAAUACAUUAGCAUGGAAUAAUAGAAUAGGACGUGUGGUUCUAUUUUGUUGGUUUCUAGGACCGCCGUAAUGAUUAAUAGGGACAGUCGGGGGCAUCAGUAUUCAAUUGUCAGAGGUGAAAUUCUUGGAUCUAUUGAAGACUAACUACUGCGAAAGCAUUUGCCAAGGAUGUUUUCAUUGAUAAGGAACGAAAGUUAGGGGACCGAAGACGAUCAGAUACCGUCGUAGUCUUAACUAUAAACUAUGCCGACUAGGGAUCGGACGAUGUUAUUCUUUGACGCGUUCGGCACCUUUCGAGAAAUCAAAGUGCUUGGGCUCCAGGGGGAGUAUGGUCGCAAGGCUGAAACUUAAAGAAAUUGACGGAAGGGCACCACCAGGGGUGGAACCUGCGGCUUAACUUGACUCAACACGGGGAAACUCACCAGGUCCAGACACAGUGAGGAUUGACAGAUUGAGAGCUCUUUCUUGAUUCUGUGGGUGGUGGUGCAUGGCCGUUCUUAGUUGGUGGAGUGAUUUGUCUGCUUAAUUGCGAUAACGAACGAGACCUUAACCUGCUAAAUAGCCCGUACUGCUUUGGCAGUUCGCCGGCUUCUUAGAGGGACUAUCGG